UAACCUUCCGAAAGGAGGGCUAAUACCGCAUAAGACUACAGCCAGUUCGCUGGCAGCAGUCAAAGCUGGCCUCUUCAUGAAAGCUAGCACUUGAGGAUGAGUCCGCGGCCCAUCAGCUAGUUGGUAGUGUAAAAGACUACCAAGGCUAAGACGGGUAGCUGGUCUGAGAGGAUGAUCAGCCACACUGGAACUGAGACACGGUCCAG
rnacentral:rRNA from 1 species